rnacentral:rRNA from 1 species
ACGCUGGCGGCGUGCUUAACACAUGCAAGUCGAACGGAAAGGCUCCUGCUUGCAGGGGUACUCGAGUGGCGAACGGGUGAGUAACACGUGGGUGAUCUGCCCCGCACUUCGGGAUAAGCCUGGGAAACUGGGUCUAAUACCGGAUAGGACCACUUCUUGGAGGUUGUGGUGGAAAGUUUUUUCGGUGUGGGAUGAGCUCGCGGCCUAUCAGCUUGUUGGUGGGGUAAUGGCCUACCAAGGCGUCGACGGGUAGCCGGCCUGAGAGGGUGUACGGCCACAUUGGGACUGAGAUACGGCCCAGACUCCUACGGGAGGCAGCAGUGGGGAAUAUUGCACAAUGGGCGCAAGCCUGAUGCAGCGACGCCGCGUGGGGGAUGACGGCCUUCGGGUUGUAAACUCCUUUCGCUAGGGACGAAGCGCAAGUGGCGGUACCUAGAGAAGAAGCACCGGCUAACUACGUGCCAGCAGCCGCGGUAAUACGUAGGGUGCGAGCGUUGUCCGGAAUUACUGGGCGUAAAGAGCUCGUAGGUGGUUUGUCGCGUCGUUUGUGUAAGCCCGCAGCUUAACUGCGGGACUGCAGGCGAUACGGGCAUAACUUGAGUGCUGUAGGGGAGACUGGAAUUCCUGGUGUAGCGGUGGAAUGCGCAGAUAUCAGGAGGAACACCGAUGGCGAAGGCAGGUCUCUGGGCAGUAACUGACGCUGAGGAGCGAAAGCAUGGGGAGCGAACAGGAUUAGAUACCCUGGUAGUCCAUGCCGUAAACGGUGGGCGCUAGGUGUGAGUCCCUUCCACGGGGUUCGUGCCGUAGCUAACGCAUUAAGCGCCCCGCCUGGGGAGUACGGCCGCAAGGCUAAAACUCAAAGGAAUUGACGGGGGCCCGCACAAGCGGCGGAGCAUGUGGAUUAAUUCGA